rnacentral:rRNA from 1 species
CCUACGGGAGGCAGCAGUGGGGAAUAUUGCACAAUGGGGGAAACCCUGAUGCAGCGACGCCGCGUGAGUGAAGAAGUAUUUCGGUAUGUAAAGCUCUAUCAGCAGGGAAGAAAAUGACGGUACCUGAUUAAGAAGCCCCGGCUAACUACGUGCCAGCCGCCGCGGUCAUACGUAGGGGGCAAGCGUUAUCCGGCUUUACUGGGUGUAAAGGGAGCGUAGACGGCAGCACAAGUCUGGAGUGAAAUGCCGGGGCUUAACCCCGGAACUGCUUUGGAAACUGUGCAGCUAGAGUGCAGGAGAGGUAAGUGGAAUGCCUAGUGUAGCGGUGAAAUGCGUAGAUAUUAGGAGGAACACCAGUGGCGAAGGCGGCUUACUGGACUGUAACUGACGUUGAGGCUCGAAAGCGUGGGGAGCAAACAGGAUUAGAUACCCUUGUAGUC